CCUACGGGCGGCUGCAGUAAGGAAUCUUCCGCAAUGGGCGAAAGCCUGACGGAGCAAUGCCGCGUGUGGGAUGAAGCGCCUUCGGCGUGUAAACCACUGUCAGGGAACGGAACCAAUGAUUGUUCCCAAAGGAAGUGGCGACUAACUCUGUGCCAGCAGUCGCGGUAAUACAGAGGCCACAAGCGUUAGUCGGAAUCACUGGGCUUAAAGGGUGCGUAGGCGGGCUCGCAAGCGUCUUGUGAAAUCCCAUGGCUCAACCAUGGAAUUGCAGGGCGAACUGCGAGUCUUGAGGCAGGUAGGGGCCGGAAGAACAGUAGGUGGAGCGGUGAAAUGCGUAGAUAUCUACUGGAAUGCCGAUGGGGAAGCCGUCCGGCUGGGCCUGUCCUGACGCUGAGGCACGAAAGCGUGGGGAGCAAACAGGAUUAGAUACCCCGGUAGUC
rnacentral:rRNA from 1 species